GGGAAUUUUCCGCAAUGGGCGAAAGCCUGACGGAGCAAUACCGCGUGAGGGAUGACGGCCUAUGGGUUGUAAACCUCUUUUUUCAGGGAGGAAUCAAUGACGUGUACCUGAAGAAUAAGCAUCGGCUAACUCCGUGCCAGCAGCCGCGGUAAGACGGAGGAUGCAAGUGUUAUCCGGAAUCACUGGGCGUAAAGCGUCUGUAGGUGGUUUGAUAAGUCAACUGUUAAAUCUUGAGGCUCAACCUCAAAAUCGCAGUCGAAACUAUUAGACUAGAGUAUAGUAGGGGUAAAGGGAAUUUUCAGUGGAGCGGUGAAAUGCGUAGAUAUUGGAAAGAACACCGAUGGCGAAGGCACUUUACUGGGCUAUUACUAACACUCAGAGACGAAAGCUAGGGUAGCAAAUGGGAUUAGAUACCCCAGUAGUCA
rnacentral:rRNA from 1 species